GCAACUUCGUCUCUGCGUUCUCCCAUGUUUUCCCCCGCCCGCACCUCCCCCUCCCCCUUCUAGUCUUCGUUGCUCGCUUCUCAUUCCUAGUCGCGACCUGGCCAAUGAUCUUAUUACUCAGAAUCAGGAAUAAUUACACUAUAAAAGGAAGGAGAGGUGGAGAAUAAACAAGAAAAGUAGCACCAGAGGCAAGACUGCUCAUAAUCCGAGGUCAAAUUCUAGCCUAAUUGUGAUUGGUAUUUGAAAAUAAGAUGAGUCAUAGAUGAUUCCAGUUUCUUUUUCAGUGUCUUGGUUUUCCUGCAGUUCGUCCAAUAAAGAACUCUACAUUCGACAGCAGUUCACCAGGAAACAGCUACAUCACAUAUUCACAUUCUAGUUAAAUGUGAUUGGUAAUCAGUUUGAGCCACAGAUCAUUUCAGUUUAGCGGUUUCAAGCUGCAAGUCUAGUUAAAAACUUCACUACAGCAAUUUAGCAACCUAAGCACCCUAUCAUGGGAGUUCAAGUUUUCAACGCAUGCCCUCUUCUUUGUACCCAUGUGUCUAAACCACUGAAUUUUCCUUUCUUUUUAAUGAACGGAGAAAAAAAUUUAAGAGAAGAGUAUCGUGGGUCAAUAAUCCAAUAUCAUGGAUGCAAUUUUAAAUCAGUAAUUAAAUAUAUUUAAAUGAUUGAAUACAAGGGCCUCUUGGAUAAAACCUAGGGUUUCAAAAUAUUUUGAGCUCAUCAAACAUUUAUAUACAACUUAACUACAUAAUUUUUCAAAUCAAAGAAACAUGUCACGGAAAAUUAGUAUACAAUUUCAGGGUAGGAUAGAAGCAAUUAGUAUAACAACACCUGCUACCUUCCCUCAAGUGAUUGUAGUCGCAUUUCAUUUUUUGAACAUCUGGAUGGUUGAUUACUCUUCUUCUAAAACAAUAUAGAACUGGCUAAAAUGUGUUGUCAAUUGUGAAACUAUUAUGAUGAAUAGCUAAUUUGUUGUAGUCAAUUGCUAAAGAAGUACUGCAAAUAAUCUGAAUGAAAGGUCUGAAUUCAAGGACGAGGCCUUUUAUCAGAACAUCAUGAAUCCAUAUCCAGUAUCUCCUCUGUAGGAAAACCGGCAAUGCAUAUCACAGCUAUCCCAAUGCUAUCUGACUCAGGCGGCGUUAACUUCGUGUAAUUAUUGUCGAAAAUUGUUUGUUUCAUGGACUUGGAAUUGACAACUGACUUUCUCUGCCGUGUGCAUGUGUUGAUAUCACGGUAUGGUUAAGCAAAUGGGACAUUGAAAUACACAAAUAAACAAGUGAUUGCGUUUAGCUGUAAUCUCUUGUGAUGGCUGCUUAACCAUAAUGAAUAUUGUUAAAGGGCUAAAGCUUUGGAGUUGCCUGAACAGUAAAAAAGAUAACAAAGCGGCAGCACUUGUCGAAAUACUGAAAUAGUGAGCAGGGUUGUUGCUAGUUGAAUUUAUGUGAUUAUGAUGUAUGAAUUAGGUGUUUAUUGCUUUAUCAAACCUUUUGACAAUUGUGUAGUAUCUAGUAACUACUUGUGUUUGAAAGACACUGCCUGAAUUAUGUAAUAUUUAUUUGUUAA